GCAGACACAUUCCAGCCAAUCAGCAGCAGACCCUCCCUCCCAUACCCUCCCACCUCCUGGACAGCAUCCAUUGUGAAGCUGCAUUCUUAGUGAGCUGUCCAGGAGGUGGGAGGGUCUGGGAGGGAGGGUCUGCUGCUGAUUGGCUGGAAUGUGUCU
rnacentral:miRNA from 1 species